UAAAGCUCUGACCUUACGGAACGAGCGCAUUUAUUAGAACGAAACCAAUCGGGUUUCGGCCCGUUCGUUGGUGACUCUGAAUAACUCUGCCGAUCGCACGGUCUCGCACCGGCGACGUAUCUUUCAAGUGUCUGCCUUAUCAACUUUCGAUGGUAGUUUAUGUGCCUACCAUGGUUGUAACGGGUAACGGAGAAUAAGGGUUCGACUCCGGAGAGGGAGCCUGAGAAACGGCUACCACAUCCAAGGAAGGCAGCAGGCGCGCAAAUUACCCACUCUCGGCACGAGGAGGUAGUGACGAAAAAUAACGAGACGGAUCUCUUUGAGGCCCGUUAUCGGAAUGAGAACAAUUCAAAUCCUUUAACGAGGAUCUAGCGGAGGGCAAGUCUGGUGCCAGCAGCCGCGGUAAUUCCAGCUCCGCAGGUGUAUAUCUAUGCUGCUGCGGUUAAAAAGCUCGUAGUUGGAUCUGCGUGCUCGGAACUGGUUGGCUCACUGAGUUCAAACUGGUCUCCGGCGCUUUAUUGGCUGGUUUUCCCUUGAUGCUCUUAACCGGGUGUCUUGGGUGGCUAGCACGUUUACUUUGAAAAAAUUAGAGUGCUCAAUACAGGCGUAAAGCCUUGAAUAGUGGUGCAUGGAAUAAUAGAAUAGGACCUCGGCUCUAUUUUGUUGGUUUUCGGAACGCGAGGUAAUGAUUAAGAGGGACAGACGGGGGCAUUCGUAUUGCGACGUUAGAGGUGAAAUUCUUGGAUCGUCGCAAGACGGACGACUGCGAAAGCAUUUGCCAAGAAUGUUUUCAUUAAUCAAGAACGAAAGUUAGAGGUUCGAAGGCGAUCAGAUACCGCCCUAGUUCUAACCGUAAACGAUGCCAACUAGCGAUUCGCAGGCGUUAAACAACGACCUUGCGGGCAGCUUCCCGGAAACGAAAGUGUUCGGGUUCCGGGGGAAGUAUGGUUGCAAAGCUGAAACUUAAAGGAAUUGACGGAAGGGCACCACCAGGAGUGGAGCCUGCGGCUUAAUUUGACCCAACACGGGAAAACUCACCCGGCCCGGACACCGUAAGGAUUGACAGAUUGAGAGCUCUUUCUUGAUUCGGUGGGUGGUGGUGCAUGGCCGUUCUUAGUUGGUGAAGCGAUUUGUCUGGUUUAUUCCGAUAACGAACGAGACUCUGGCCUACUAAAUAGUGGGCGGAUUCUUUCUGUCCGCAACACUCCUUAGAGGGACAAGCGGUGUUCAGCCGCAC
rnacentral:rRNA from 1 species